rfam:Nicotiana attenuata strain TT chromosome 3, whole genome shotgun sequence.
UGGACAGAUUAUUUUAUUCGACUGUAUUCACAUCGUGAAAUAGGGGAUUACACUGUUUUUAAAACGGAAAGUGAAUCAAUUAACAUAAUAGACUCCU